UUUCUUCCUUGGAGAAGUGUCUACUCAGACAGGAAGUGUCUACUCAUUUCCUGUUGCUUUACAUCUUUAAGAAUGGUAUGUCUAUCAUUGGUUACAUGAGUCCAAAUUAAAAAGAAAAAAAAAAAACUAAUGACACUCUUCAUAGAAUAGAAAAAACAAUUGUAAAAUACAAAAACACAAAAGACCCAAUUAACAGAAAAAAAAUCUUGAGCAGAAUGAACAAUUAAAUUAAAGACAUCAUAAUUCAUGAUUUAAGACAUACUACAGAGCCAAAGCAACCAAAACAGCUGAGGAUUGGCAUAAAAACAGAUGCAAAGACUGGUGAAAAGCAGCAGCCAGAAAGAAAUCCACACACUGACAGCCAACUGACUCAACAAAGGUGUAGUAAUCCCGUAGGACUUCACAAAUGAUGUUGGGAAAACAGGAUGUCCACAUGUUGAAGACUGACACCUGAUCCCUCUCUUCCACCCUGUAUUCAAUCAUCACCCGCUAAUCAAAGACCUUAAUGUACGAUGUAAAGCUGAAAUUAUUGGAGGGAGACCUGGGGAGCAGUUCAGAAUAUUGGUACAGACAAUUAUUUUCCUGGAUAGGAUCCUAGCCUUGGAAACAAAAGCAAAAAUUGACAAAUGGUUUAUAUCAAAAUAAAAAGCUCUGCACAUCAAAGAAAUAAUCAGUAGAGUGAGAAGUCUCUACUGGAGAAAGUGCUAAGAAGGGCUGGGGUAUAGACUGGCAGUACAAUGCUUACUUAACAUGCACAAGGCUCUGAGUUCACUCUUCAGCACUGCACACACACAAAAUACAAAAUCAAAUAUUCUUCCCGUCAUCUCAAAGUGUUUGGUCUUAAGAACCACAAAAUAAGUUGAGUCCUUCUUGUGCCCUGGUCACUGCAUUUCCAUUCCAGGUGUAGAUAUCCACUUUAUUUUAUGAAAGAAAUCUCUGACUCAUGAUCUAUAAACAAAUACUCAUCGUGGUAUCCAAUACUCGGCGUGUCUGUUUUCUACAGGGACUUGUCUAAUAGCUUUGCACAUAUGUGAGCCAGUCAUAUGCCUUGGAGGUUUUAUUAUUUGCCCACACUGGAGAGAUGGUACCACUUAGGGUGAAUAGUGGGAGAGUGAAUGGCCACUGGCAAUGAUUGUACUCCAGUAGGAGAUCAAAGUGAAGACCAUUCUGGGAAACUGGGAUGUACAUUCACCCUACUCUAUGGAAUGUAAAUCUAGUCCUCAGAUAGGCUGUGUUCCUUUGUUUCCUUGAUGUAGGCCUCGGAUUACAGUUCCAGUGGUGGUCUGUGGUUUCCUAGGGGUCCCAUGUUGUUGGUGUUUAGAUUCCCUUUGUUCUCAAAGAUCUAGAAAAUCAUAAACAAUAUUUCCUGAGUUCUGGAAACCAGAGCCAGAAAUGCAUGUCAUCUUCUCGUGCCCUUCCAUCUUCCUAUCUGGAGGGAUAACUUGACACGCACCGUCUAUGACUCCCUGAAACGGAAAACAUGGGCGAAUGUGGACGGGAAACAGGAAGAAGCGGAAGGAUAUUUUUAAGCGUGUGUUUUAUGGUGUGAUGAUGGACGGCUUCGUUGGAGUGACAGCUGUCUACGGAAAAAGGAACUCUGGUUUCUUGUAAAGAGCACUGUGUGCCUCAAGGAAGACGAGGAAGGCAGCUUCCUGCAGACUUUUGAUUCUGGCUCCAGAGCUUCAGCAGCAUUCGCCGGUCUUCUUUCUAUACACACCUAAAGCUGGAGCUGGGGCAGCUGCAAGGCCAGGGCAAGCAAACAACGUGACAGAUGCAUAGAAUAAGGCAGCGCAAACAACGUGACAGAUGCAUAGAAUAAGGCAGCGCAAACAACGUGACAGAUGCAUAGAAUAAGGCAGUGCAUGCAUGAUGGCUCUUCCACAGAGACCACCUCAUGGUAUUUCUAUAAAAUCCACUGGGCUCUCUCAAUAAUUAUAGCUACAUGUAGAAUGAUCAAUUCCUCUGGCUGUCGUUAGGCCGACAUGAUAAAGAUUCACGAUAAACAUGAUAAAGAUUCAUAAAACUCACAACAGUACUGAAGGGAAUAGACUGAGUUUUCUAGAUAUUGCAUGCUAAAAAAUUAUGUAUGUACAUGCGUGCAUAUGUGUGGUCUUCUGGGAAUUUAAUUCUUUAGAAAUAUAACUGAGUGGAUUUUAUUCCUUAAUCGCCUUUUUUUAUAUUUGUUUACAGAGUAUCAUAAUUGAAUGUAACAGGGGAAAGAAACAUACAAUUCUCUUCCAGUUUUGUAUAUUUGCUACAUGAAUAUGAUAGUCCAUCCUCAACACCAAUAUUCUGCAUUAAUGUUUAAUGGGAAAAAAAUCUAUUAUUGGCUCACAGAUGUGCUUUGGAGUAAUACUUUACAAUUUCAAUAUUUUAUGAUUUUCUCAGCCAGGAAAUACGUGUGUAUUGUUCCUUCACCAUGUCCAAUUAGACUAUCAACUCUUGCUCCUCUUUUACCAAGAAGCUUGAUUUUCUAAGGUGCCCCACCAGGAGUAAAGGUUUAUUAAGUUUCAUUUAUGUGUUGUGAGAUAUGUGCUCAAGAGGAAAACAGAGUGUUGAACAGAUAGCUUUCUCUGGGGUGAAUAUGUAAAUAGUGCACUAUCGGAAUUCUUUUGCCAAGCAUGUUCCGGACUAGGUACAUUAUACAGGUUACUCUCAUAGAAAAAAAAAAAAAGGUUGGAAACUGGAAGGCACCAGGACCACCUUUUAAUCAUCACUCUUAUAAUAAAUCUAGUUUAAAAAUCACAA